rnacentral:lncRNA from 13 species
AUUUUAAAGUGUUACUCAACACCAGUUCUGGGUUCAAAGUGCAGGAGGGUGAUAACCUCGACAUUGAGUGUUCCCAUAACCUGCCGGUGGAACCAAAAAGCCCGCUGGUCUUUGUCUGGCUGAUGGAUGGCGUCCACCUGAAGGGCAAGAACAGUAGCAUGCUCACCGUGAAGAAGGUUGGUAUAGAUACCUCUGGCAAGGAGAAAUAUGCCUGCACCAUCCAGAGUCCCUGUGGCAACUUCACCUCAGAACCAAAGGAGAUUGAAGUUGAAGACGUGACGAUGUUGGUCAUAGUGAUCUGUGGUGUGUCUGCUGUGGUGCUGAUCCUGGCCAUGGGUAUAGGCAUGAAGAUCAUGCUGAAGAUGGAAUUUGCGAAGACAAAGAACAGGAGGCAGCAGAAUGCUCAGAACCUACAGAGAACUACAACAGAGUAGUGUUUCAUUUUCUGCAAAUUCCACCAAAUGUCCUACAUGAGAAAAUGGCAAAAAUUUGACAUGAUUACACUGUAAAUGGAUAAAUAUGUAGCUAACAAUUUUAUUGUUGUAUUUGCAAUUUAAUCAACACAAUUUUAUCUCAAAGUCAGUGUUUAACAUGGAGAGCCACAGAUAUGUUGAUCCUCUGGCAGUGCCACACAGCAAGUUUGGAGAUUUGUCCCAAUAAAUAAUAUGCCAAAUUCAUGAUAUUUAUUAAUAAACAUUUGUGUAUGUUUGUAUUUAUACGCUGCUCAAAAAAGUAAAGGGAACACUUCAACAACACAAUGUAACUCCAAGUCAAUCACACUUCUGUGAAAUCAAACUAUCUACUUAGGAAGCAACACUGAUUGACAAAUUUCACAUGCUGUUGUGCAAAUGGAAUAGACAACAGGUGGAAAUUAUAGGCAUUUAGCAAGACACCCCCAAUAAAGGAGUGGUUCUGCAGGUGGUGACCACAGACCACUUCUGAGUUCCUAUGCUUCCUGGCUGAUGUUUUGGUCACUUUUGAAUGCUGGCGGU